rnacentral:rRNA from 1 species
GAUGAACGCUGGCGGCGUGCCUAAUACAUGCAAGUCGAGCGAACGGACGAGAAGCUUGCUUCUCUGAUGUUAGCGGCGGACGGGUGAGUAACACGUGGAUAACCUACCUAUAAGACUGGGAUAACUUCGGGAAACCGUAGCUAAUACCGGAUAAUAUUUUGAACCGCAUGGUUCAAAAGUGAAAGACGGUCUUGCUGUCACUUAUAGAUGGAUCCGCGCUGCAUUAGCUAGUUGGUAAGGUAACGGCUUACCAGGGCAACGAUGCAUAGCCGACCUGAGAGGGUGAUCGGCCACACUGGAACUGAGACACGGUCCAGACUCCUACGGGAGGCAGCAGUAGGGAAUCUUCCGCAAUGGGCGAAAGCCUGACGGAGCAACGCCGCGUGAGUGAUGAAGGUCUUCGGAUCGUAAAACUCUGUUAUUAGGGAAGAACAUAUGUGUAAGUAACUGUGCACAUCUUGACGGUACCUAAUCAGAAAGCCACGGCUAACUACGUG